rnacentral:lncRNA from 1 species
CCUGGAAGUCGUUCCUUCUGGUGAGAGAGAAGCCGUGGACCGCUGGAUUCGCAUUCAGAGCUGCCGCGAACGGGUGAGGAAGAAGGGCUUUGUUCCUGGACCACUCGAGAGCGUGUGGACAGGAGUCCGGCUUGAUCACACACACGUGAUGGAGAACAGGAAGAAGAGUGGAAUCGCCUGCAUCAGCCUGGAGCCCUGGAGAGAAAGCAGCAGAAAUCAGCAACAAACAAACACAGAGUUCUUCCUCCAUGUGAGAGGUCGGGUUAGACAUGAUGGACAGCACAGAGCCGCACACGAUAGAGCUCCUGUCCUGAGGAAUCAGCUCAGUGGAGGUGGUCGACGGCAGAGGGAGGGUAGACUCUCACCACUCACUGAAGCGUCAGUGACUAAGUAUAUGAGUUUCUGUGUGAGACCCACAGGUGCUGGAGGCUGUGGUGGGGUGGCUACAGGCGCAGCGAGCAGAGAGACUUGGGGAAGCCUGCACCGCGGUGACAAGGCUCUGCUGAGCCCUACAGGAAGCAGAUGGUCCCUCCUCCCUGGACAGAACAGCAUCUUUCUUUCCCCACGAAAUCUGCACGCAUUCUGCAGCACCAGCAUGUUGCCAAGCAUACACUCUCAGAAACGUGAAUCCGGACAGGCCUCUCAUUUUACAGGCGAUGCAGCUGUAUCCCUGAGAUUAGAUUUCAUUAGUGGCUUUCAUGGGCCUGAAAUCCUUGGCUCCUGGUGUUUGGGUACACAACACUUCCAAUAUGUUCAAUGUGGCCCCAACGGAUAAGUUGGCAGAGUUCACUUCUGUUUUCAAGCUUUUUUAGAAAUUGAUGUGUGACUAACAUUAUAAAGGAAAUUUCACCCUUUUUAGUGUACAGCUCCAUGCGUUUUGCAACCAUUGCCCAAAUCAACAGUUUUAUUUCUCAGAAAAUUACAUGUUAUUGAAAAUAUAAUCUCAAAUAAAUACAUUGAAAGUAAUUUCA